GCUGUGGGGUCUUUCUGCAGGAGGCCUAGAGUGAGAUGCCACUGAAGAACGAGUUGGGCCUGACUGGAAAUCCUGUUUCCUCUUGUCCUUAAGAAGGAAGAUUCAUCCAUAAUUCAGUGGUGUUCCUCUUUAGUGAUGCUGAUGUAAAGAUUUGAAACUACAACACAGUCCGAAUUCUCAAAUGCUGGGAGAGCUAUCAAGAUCUACAGUUACAGUCUGUGAAGAAUCUGAAAAUAGCAGACAAGCCUUUUCUCGCUUUUGAAACUUCAACAUUAAGCAGAGCCCCAGCACACUGUAAAUGCUGUCAUUGCCAGAAGGAGAACUGUUGAUAGAUCUCAUAAUUGAUCUGCAUCAUGCCUCAUUCUCCAGUGAGAGGUAUCUGUUGCUGCAUCUGGACGUACAUAUCACACAUCAGACACAGCCACAUAGCUAGAGACUGUAGCUGUGUGUAAAAGGAUUAAACUCUCUUGUUCUGCAAACAAUGGAUUUUAUCUACAGAAUUAAAAUUUUUCUUCCAUCUGACAUCUUUCUUGGAGAACUUAGUGCACCUGUGUGUUUUAGUAACCAUUGUUCACAAGGAAAUACUAAUACACAGAACUUGAUAGAGUGGAAAUGGGGAAAAAAAAAAAAAAAGAGAAACCACACCACAUGGAUAGAAUACUUUCUCAUAUAACAUGAUAACAAUAACAAUAUUCUCAAAAAUAUAACACUUAUUGUGUAUUUCUUGAUGGUUUGUUUCCAAAUCUAAAUUUAUGAAUCUGAAAUUAAAUAUUCAAAUCAGGGGAAGUGCUGUGCUAUCAGCAACUGUUUAGGAUAUUAUUACUAUAUACAUUCCUGUUUUUAUCUAGCUGCUGUGGGAUGAGGUGAAAAUGGAAAGGCAAGUAUAGAAGGAGAUAUAGUGUGUGCUGACUUGGAGAUAUUGAGUAACACAGAAAAUAAGGGAUCUUCUUGUAGGUCACUAUGUCAGUUGCUACUGGCCACAUAGGCUCAAGUUCUGUGGGCUAGCUCUUGCCAUAUUUGGUA